UUCCCUCUGGAUACUCCCAAGGGGCUCCAAACAGGACAGAGAACAUCCCAUAAUGCUCUGCUGCUGGCCAAUCCGUUUUCUGGGAAUGCAUCCAUGGAAUGAGAUAUCACAGCCUUCAAGUCUUUGCCAUUCUCUUUCUAAUAUUUCUCACCAUUCUCUAUUUUGAAUCCUAAUUUAUUUUCAGGGAAAGGAUCUCUUUGCAGAAAUGGACCUGGAUUCCUGUGAGGCAGAGAGGCCUCCGUUGGACAUCAGAGAGAGGCCACUGGGUGACAGAAGGAUGCCAGCAAGACUUCCUGAUCCGUCUUUUCAUGGGGACAGAAGAGAAGCAGUGGCUGUGAAACCAGAUCAGGGUCCGGUGUGCUUUGAAGAUGUCGCUGUUCGUUUCACGGACGAGGAG